AUGAUCCUAGAGGAUGAGAGAGGGUUAAACCUCCCUUGUUUCUAUGACAAUGUUGGUACCCGUGUGCAACUGGAAAGAAACCCUUCUCGCAUACACGCUUUUCUUCAAGCACAUCGUCAGAUUGAGGAUGCAACCACUCAUGGUCGGCUCCGGGAUGAUCUAGUAGUGCACCACUGGUAG
rnacentral:rRNA from 1 species